AGUGAACGCUGGCGGUAGGCCUAACACAUGCAAGUCGAACGGCAGCACAGUAAGAGCUUGCUCUUACGGGUGGCGAGUGGCGGACGGGUGAGGAAUACAUCGGAAUCUACUUUUUCGUGGGGGAUAACGGAGGGAAACUUACGCUAAUACCUCAUACGACCUACGGGUGAAAGCAGGGGAUCUUCGGACCUUUCGCGAUUGAAUGAGCCGAUGUCGGAUUAGCUAGUUGGCGGGGUAAAGGCCCACCAAGGCGACGAUCCGGAGCUGGUCUGAGAGGAUGAUCAGCCACACCGGAACUGAGACCCGGUCCAGACUCCUACGGGAGGCAGCAGUGGGGAAUAUUGGACAAUGGGCGCAAGCCUGAUCCAGCCAUACCGCGUGGGUGAAGAAGGCCUUCGGGUUGUAAAGCCCUUUUGUUGGGAAAGAAAAGCAGCAGGUUAAUACCCCGCUGUUCUGACGGUACCCAAAGAAUAAGCACCGGCUAACUUCGUG
rnacentral:rRNA from 1 species